rnacentral:rRNA from 1 species
AUGAACGCUAGCUACAGGCUUAACACAUGCAAGUCGAGGGGCAGCAUGGUCUUAGCUUGCUAAGGCCGAUGGCGACCGGCGCACGGGUGAGUAACACGUAUCCAACCUGCCGUCUACUCUUGGACAGCCUUCUGAAAGGAAGAUUAAUACAAGAUGGCAUCAUGAGUCCGCAUGUUCACAUGAUUAAAGGUAUUCCGGUAGACGAUGGGGAUGCGUUCCAUUAGAUAGUAGGCGGGGUAACGGCCCACCUAGUCUUCGAUGGAUAGGGGUUCUGAGAGGAAGGUCCCCCACAUUGGAACUGAGACACGGUCCAAACUCCUACGGGAGGCAGCAGUGAGGAAUAUUGGUCAAUGGGCGAGAGCCUGAACCAGCCAAGUAGCGUGAAGGAUGACUGCCCUAUGGGUUGUAAACUUCUUUUAUAAAGGAAUAAAGUCGGGUAUGCAUACCCGUUUGCAUGUACUUUAUGAAUAAGGAUCGGCUAACUCCGUGCCAGCAGCCGCGGUAAUACGGAGGAUCCGAGCGUUAUCCGGAUUUAUUGGGUUUAAAGGGAGGGUAGAUAGAUGUUUAAGUCAGUUGUGAAAGUUUGCGGCUCAACCGUAAAAUUGCAGUUGAUACUGGAUAUCUUGAGUGCAGUUGAGGCAGGCGGAAUUCGUGGUGUAGCGGUGAAAUGCUUAGAUAUCACGAAGAACUCCGAUUGCGAAGGCAGCCUGCUAAGCUGCAACUGACAUUGAGGCUCGAAAGUGUGGGUAUCAAACAGGAUUAGAUACCCUGGUAGUCCACACGGUAAACGAUGAAUACUCGCUGUUUGCGAUAUACGGCAAGCGGCCAAGCGAAAGCGUUAAGUAUUCCACCUGGGGAGUACGCCGGCAACGGUGAAACUCAAAGGAAUUGACGGGGGCCCGCACAAGCGGAGGAACAUGUGGUUUAAUUCGAUGAUACGCGAGGAACCUUACCCGGGCUUAAAUUGCAGAUGAAUUACGGUGAAAGCCGUAAGCCGCAAGGCAUCUGUGAAGGUGCUGCAUGGUUGUCGUCAGCUCGUGCCGUGAGGUGUCGGCUUAAGUGCCAUAACGAGCGCAACCCUUGUUGUCAGUUACUAACAGGUUCCGCUGAGGACUCUGACAAGACUGCCAUCGUAAGAUGUGAGGAAGGUGGGGAUGACGUCAAAUCAGCACGGCCCUUACGUCCGGGGCUACACACGUGUUACAAUGGGGGGUACAGAGGGCCGCUACCACGCGAGUGGAUGCCAAUCCCCAAAACCUCUCUCAGUUCGGACUGGAGUCUGCAACCCGACUCCACGAAGCUGGAUUCGCUAGUAAUCGCGCAUCAGCCACGGCGCGGUGAAUACGUUCCCGGGCCUUGUACACACCGCCCGUCAAGCCAUGGGAGCCGGGGGUGCCUGAAGUGCGUAACCGCGAGGAGCGCCCUAGGGUAAAACUGGUGACUGGGGCU